AACAGACGGAAACGACUGCUAAUACCGAAUAAGUUCCAAGAGCCGCAUGGCCCAUGGAAGAAAAGGNGGCCUCUACCUGUAAGCUAUCGCCUGAAGAGGGGUUUGCGUCUGAUUAGCUGGUUGGAGGGGUAACGGCCCACCAAGGCGACGAUCAGUAGCCGGUCUGAGAGGAUGAACGGCCACACUGGAACUGAGACACGGUCCAGACUCCUACGGGAGGCAGCAUG
rnacentral:rRNA from 1 species